GUAUUUCUAGCUUAUCUGGUAAAGCAUCGGUCUGUGGAACCGAAGAACAGGGUUCGAUCCCCGGAGAUACCCA
rnacentral:tRNA from 2 species